rnacentral:rRNA from 1 species
GACGAACGCUGGCGGCGUGCUUAACACAUGCAAGUCGAACGGUAAGGCCCUUCGGGGUACACGAGUGGCGAACGGGUGAGUAACACGUGGGUGAUCUGCCCUGCACUUCGGGAUAAGCCUGGGAAACUGGGUCUAAUACCGGAUAGGACUCCGGACUGCAUGGUCUGGGGUGGAAAGCUUUUGCGGUGUGGGAUGGGCCCGCGGCCUAUCAGCUUGUUGGUGGGGUGAUGGCCUACCAAGGCGACGACGGGUAGCCGGCCGGAGAGGGUGACCGGACACACGGGGGCGGAGACACGGCCGAGGUUCCUGCGGGGGGCAGCAGUGGGGAAGGUUGCAAAAGGGGCGAAAGCCUGGCGCAGCGACGACGGGGGAGGGAGGCCGGCCUUCGGGUUGUAACCCUCUUUCAGCGACGACGAAGCAAAAGGGAGGGUAGGUGCAGAAAAGGAACGGCCAAACUACGGGCCAGCAGCCACAGUAA